rnacentral:lncRNA from 1 species
GCACUAUUUUCUUAGUAAGCAUUUUCAAGGUGUUUUAUAAACGUAUAAAUAGGUUACAAUAAUCAACAUGAUUCUUGGCCUAAGGUGGGUUGAAGAGCCUGCUUCUAAAUCCUCAAAGUCCAUUACAAGACAAAUUCUACCCCGUACUAGGCUAAGGUAUCUAAAUCCACUUUUAGGUGUUAACUAAGCUUCAAUAGAC